rnacentral:rRNA from 1 species
CCUACGGGUGGCAGCAGUCGGGAAUCUUUCACAAUGGGGGAAACCCUGAUGGUGCGACGCCGCGUGGGGGAAUGAAGGUCUUCGGAUUGUAAACCCCUGUUAUGUGGGAGCAAAUUAAAAAGAUAGUACCACAAGAGGAAGAGACGGCUCACUCUGUGCCAGCAGCCGCGGUAAUACAGCGGGCUCAAGCGUGGUUCGGAAUCAUUGGGCUUAAGGGGUGCGUAGGCGGGUUCGUAAGUUGUGUGUGAAAGGCCCGGGCUCAACCCGCGGACAGCACAUGAUACUGGGAGGCUAGAGUAGUGGAGGGGUAACCGGAAUGCGCGGUGUAGCAGUGAAAUGCGUAGAUAUCGAGAGGAACACUCGUGGCGAAGGCGGGUUCCUGGACACUAACUGACGCUGAGGCACGAAGGCCAGGGGAGCGAAAGGGAUUAGAUACCCGGGUAGUC